UUAAACUACAAAGGAUUUGGCGGUACUUUAUUCCAUUUAGAGGAACCUGUCUCGUAAUUGAUAAUACACGAUUAAUUUUACUUAUUCUAUUUAUUUGUAUAUUUCCGUUAACAGAGAGUCUUUUUAGAGUUUUAAUUUUCAUUAAUUAUAAUUAUAUAAUAUUUCAGGUCAAGGUGCAGUUUAUGAUUAAGUGAAGAUGGGUUACAAUAAAUUUUAGUUUAUUACGGAUUUUGUUUUGAAAUUGUAUAAUUAAGGUGGAUUUAAUAGUAAAUUGAUUAAUUUAAUUCAAUUGAUAUUGGCUCUAGGGUGUGUACACAUC
rnacentral:rRNA from 1 species